rnacentral:rRNA from 1 species
GUAGGGAAUAUUGGGCAAUGGAAGGAAUUCUGACCCAGCCAUGCCGCGUGCAGGAAUACAGUCCUAUGGACUUUAAACUGCUUUUAUUAUAGAGUAACCUGGGGGACGUGUCCCCCACUGCAAGUAUAUAAUGAAUAAGCAUCGGCUAACUCCGUGCCAGCAGCCGCGGUAAUACGGGGGAUGCAAGCGUUAUCCGGAUUUAUUGGGUUUAAAGGGUGCGCAGGCUGAUCGGUAAGUCAUGGGUGAAAAGUCACUGCUUAACAGUGAUCGUGCCGAUGAUACUGCCGGACUAGAGUUUAAGAGGUGUAACUGGAAUGUGAUGUGUAGCGGUGAAAUGCUUAGAUAUGUCACAGAACGCCAAUCGUGAAGACAGGUUACAAACUUAAUACUGACGCUCAUGCACGAAAGCGUGGGGAUCAAACAGGAUUAGAUACCCGAGUAGUCC